GCCAAUUGUUACAUUAGCAGAUUUCUGUAUUGUAGAUACUGUUCACAGACUUAGGAGUGUGAAACGAAAAUGUAGAAAAGCGAUUUUCGACGAGUUUGACGUAAAUGUUUAUACGUGUAUCCACCAUAUUCUGUGAAAGAACAAGAGAGUUAGCUCUGAAAUCUUUUGGCGGUUUUUUUUAACUUGUGCAGUAUUGGAGUAAAGUGGAAUGUUAUUAUGGGGGUAAAGUGGAAUACUAUACCACUUUACCCUCGUGGCAUUUCAGUUUCACAUAAGAAACUCACUAGUCACUAGGUAUGUUAUCAAUAAUAAGAGUAUUUGUUUUUAGAUUGAAAACAAUACGUAUUUAUGGAAGACUAUUUCUCGUCUCGUAUAAAAAUAGUCACGUCAAUCAUCACACGUAGCGGCCCACUGCAAAACUGGGUGCCCAUGCGAAGAAAAAAGACAUAUGGCACCCUCCAUCAAAAUAAAGCUACUAGAAAUUUUGGAAUUCUGAUAGCUUCUUUCAAGGUGGAAAAAGUUGUGCAAGAAACCCUAAAGAAGAAGCUGGGCAGAUUGAAUACAAUUUUUACUACUGAAAAGAACGUCUAAAGAUCAAAGCUGCAAAAGCAGAUAUAGUAUCAUUUGCAAGGAGAAAGUAAAUAGCAUCUCCGUCCGAGCGGCCGGAGGGGCGUGGACCCUGAACGGGACCCUCGUGGAACCGCGAAACGGAGCCUCCGCCGCGGUGCCCCGCUAAGCACUAACCCAGCUAACCCGAGGCUCCGUCAUGUGGAGUAGCGUGCCGAUCCAAGCGUGCGGCGUACGUGUGCAAUACUGUUCAGCAAGUUGUUUGAGAUACAAUUAAAAAAAUCUGCAAAUU